rnacentral:rRNA from 1 species
UGGGGAAUAUUGGACAAUGGGCGAAAGCCUGAUCCAGCAAUGCCGCGUGAGUGAUGAAGGCCUUAGGGUUGUAAAGCUCUUUUACCCGGGAUGAUAAUGACAGUACCGGGAGAAUAAGCUCCGGCUAACUCCGUGCCAGCAGCCGCGGUAAUACGGAGGGAGCUAGCGUUAUUCGGAAUUACUGGGCGUAAAGCGCACGUAGGCGGCUUUGUAAGUUAGAGGUGAAAGCCUGGAGCUCAACUCCAGAAUUGCCUUUAAGACUGCAUCGCUUGAAUCCAGGAGAGGUGAGCGGAAUUCCGAGUGUAGAGGUGAAAUUCGUAGAUAUUCGGAAGAACACCAGUGGCGAAGGCGGCUCACUGGACUGGUAUUGACGCUGAGGUGCGAAAGCGUGGGGAGCGAAACAGGAUUAGAUACCCUGGUAGUCCACGCCGUAAACGAUGAUAACUAGCUGUCGGGGCUCUUAGAGCUUCGGUGGCGCAGCUAACG